GGACACGUAGCUCAGUCCGGACCAGAGCGUCGGACUUCUAAUCCGACGGUCGUGAAUCUUCCGUUCUCA
rnacentral:tRNA from 1 species